AGAGUUUGAUCCUGGCUCAGAUUGAACGCUGGCGGCAUGCCUUACACAUGCAAGUCGAACGGCAGCACGGGAGCAAUCCUGGUGGCGAGUGGCGAACGGGUGAGUAAUAUAUCGGAACGUGCCCAGUCGUGGGGGAUAACGCAGCGAAAGUUGCGCUAAUACCGCAUACGAUCUAUGGAUGAAAGCGGGGGAUCGCAAGACCUCGCGCGAUUGGAGCGGCCGAUAUCAGAUUAGCUUGUUGGUGAGGUAAAAGCUCACCAAGGCGACGAUCUGUAGCUGGUCUGAGAGGACGACCAGCCACACUGGGACUGAGACACGGCCCAGACUCCUACGGGAGGCAGCAGUGGGGAAUUUUGGACAAUGGGCGCAAGCCUGAUCCAGCAAUGCCGCGUGCAGGAUGAAGGCCUUCGGG
rnacentral:rRNA from 1 species